rnacentral:rRNA from 1 species
CAGCAGCCGCGGGAAUACGUAGGUCCCGAGCGUUGUCCGGAAUUAUUGGGCGUAAAGGGAGCGCAGGCGGGCGAGUAAGUCUUUCUUAAAAGUGCGGGGCUCAACCCCGUGAGGGGAGAGAAACUACUCAUCUUGAGUGCAGGAGAGGAAAGCGGAAUUCCUAGUGUAGCGGUGAAAUGCGUAGAUAUUAGGAAGAACACCAGUGGCGAAGGCGGUUUUCUGGACUGUAACUGACGCUGAGGCUCGAAAGCCAGGGGAGCGAACGGGAUUAGAUACCCCAGUAGUCCCUGUCUCUUAUACA